rnacentral:tRNA from 1 species
GUAUUGAAGCGAUAUAUUGCAAUUAGUUUCGACCUAAUCUUAGGUACCUUACCCUUACUUU